rnacentral:rRNA from 1 species
UUUUUUUGGAGAGUUUGAUCCUGGCUCAGGACGAACGCUGGCGGCGUGCCUAAUACAUGCAAGUCGAGCGGACCG